UAUAUCGUAUCCGCCAAUGGGCUCAAUGUUUGGCUCAUUCACGGUGCUCCAGUAUUUCACCCUGUCACCAAAGUUCUUGAAGCACACAUCUGCAUACGCCGUGUAGUCAUCUCUGCAACCAUGUGACAAAAAAGGGCAAGAAGAAAUUACAUGAAUUUACGACUAAGCAUCCCAUGGUAUUCAUCUUGAAGAGCCUGAGGGAAGUCGAAAUGAUAUAUCGUCACGUGAGGCUGAAUUCCUACAGGAAACACAGGAAGAUGCACGAUUUAUCUCUGCACAGCUGGACAUUUGGAAAUCUUGUAAUUUCAUUCGUAAAUGAAGGAUUCAGUAUGCCAAGGAUCAAAUACCAUGACUCAGGAGUUCAUUGAUAAGGUUGUUGUAGUACUCCAGUCCCUUUGGAUUGACAGCUCCUCGGCCAUCUUCAUGGAUUGCAAACAGAAGAAUAAGCCGAGGCCAGGCAAUGGAAAAUCUAUACGCGUCCACGCCCAUCUGGCUCAAAAGCUUUACAUCUUCCUGGUUGUUUAUCCGAUCACAUCAGCAGUGGCUCCAUCAGCAGAGUAGCCUGUGGACGUUAAAACUCCAUGUUACAAUUCGCAAUGCGAUAAUGCGUGGUAGAUUCAGGCCCACAGGGCGUGGGGGAGCCUGUGAAUAAACCUGAGUGUGUGAAUGUGUCCCAGAUGCUGGGUUUUCUUCCGUCCUCUGCAACCGCACCUUCAAUCUGGAACCAGCCAAAUAUUCAGAUCGGU